UUAGCGGCGCUUUUGAUAAAAGCGCCACUAAAGGUCAUAAAAAAAUAUUAU
rfam:Gossypium raimondii chromosome 6, whole genome shotgun sequence.